rnacentral:rRNA from 1 species
AUUGAACGCUGGCGGCAUGCUUUACACAUGCAAGUCGAACGGUAACAGGCCGCAAGGUGCUGACGAGUGGCGAACGGGUGAGUAAUGCAUCGGAACGUGCCCAGUCGUGGGGGAUAAUGCAGCGAAAGCUGUGCUAAUACCGCAUACGAUCUAUGGAUGAAAGCGGGGGGCCGUAAGGCCUCGCGCGAUUGGAGCGGCCGAUGUCAGAUUAGGUAGUUGGUGGGGUAAAGGCAUACCAAGCCGACGAUCUGUAGCUGGUCUGAGAGGACGCACAGCCACACUGAGACUGAGAAACGGACCAGACUCCUACGGGAGGCAGCAGUGGGGAAUUUUGGACAAUGGGCGCAAUCCUGAUCCAGCAAUGCCGCGUGCAGGAAGAAGGCCUUCGGGUUGUAAACUGCUUUUGUACGGAACGAAACGGCCUGGGUUAAUACCCUGGGCUAAUGACGGUACCGUAAGAAUAAGCACCGGCUAACUACGUGCCAGCCGCCGCCGUAAGAC